rnacentral:rRNA from 1 species
ACCGGCGGCCCGAGUGGUGGCCACUAUUAUUGGGUCUAAAGGGUCCGUAGCCGGUUUGGUCAGUCUUCCGGGAAAUCUGACGGCUCAACCGUUAGGCUUUCGGGGGAUACUACCAGGCUUGGGACCGGGAGAGGUAAGAGGUACUACGGGGCUAGGAGUGAAAUCUUGUUAUCCCUGUGGGACCACCAGUGGCGAAGGCGUCUUACCAGAACGGGUCCGUCGGUGAGGGCCGAGAGCUGGGUGUACGAACCG